rnacentral:rRNA from 1 species
AUUGAACGCUGGCGGAAUGCUUUACAUAUGCAAGUCGAACGGCAGCACGGACUUCGGUCUGGUGGCGAGUGGCGAACGGGUGAGUAAUGUAUCGGAACGUGCCCAGUCGUGGGGGAUAACGUAGUGAAAAUUACGCUAAUACCGCAUACGAUCUAUGGAUGAAAGCGGGGGAUCGCAAGACCUCGCGCGAUUGGAGCGGCCGAUAUCGGAUUAGGUAGUUGGUGGGGUAAAGGCCCACCAAGCCAACGAUCUGUAGCUGGUCUGAGAGGACGACCAGCCAGACUGGAACUGAGACACGGUCCAGACUCCUACGGGAGGCAGCAGUGGGGAAUUUUGGACAAUGGGCGAAAGCCUGAUCCAGCCAUUCCGCGUGAAGGAUGAAGGCCCUCGGGUUGUAAACUGCUUUUGUACAGAACGAAAAGGUUUCUACUAAUACUAGGAGCUCAUGACGGUACUGUAAGAAUAAGCACCGGCUAACUACGUGCCAGCCGCCGCCGUAA